UACCAGCACCCCGAGUGGUCGGGACGAUUAUUGGGCCUAAAGCAUCCGUAGCCGGCCUUACAAGUCUUCCGUUAAAUCCAACUGCUUAACAGGUGGGCUGCGGAAGAUACUAUAGAGCUAGGAGGCGGGAGAGGCAAGCGGUACUCGAUGGGUAGGGGUAAAAUCCGUUGAUCCAUUGAAGACCACCAGUGGCGAAGGCGGCUUGCCAGAACGCGCUCGACGGUGAGGGAUGAAAGCUGGGGGAGCAAACCGG
rnacentral:rRNA from 1 species